GAAUGGAUGAGGAACUGCUGAAACACAUCAAGGGACAGUCUAGGUCAACAACAGAAGGUUCCUGGAAAGCUUCAGCACCACAUUAAAAAAGCCCAGCUCCAUUGCUCAGGUUUUGGAGCCUGUGAUGUUAUCCAGACACCCAGGCUCACAACUUUCUCAUACUUCAGAUGUGCCAGGAAAAGACUCCAGCAGUGGGAAAAGAUUUUGACAGGGAGGAGGCAGUGAGGAAAGCCUCUGCCAGCUCCUUGCUGCUGGAACCAUUCGCUGCCACAGGGUAUCAUCAAUUGUAUCAAAAGGCAUUGGUAUGUGUAUCUCCCCCUGCUUCUUCACCCCAAGAUGAGACUGUUUUGGGGAACCCUCAAGAAAGGUG